GGGUUGUAUAAGGAUUAAAAUGCAUUAAAUAUUAUUUUAUAAAAUAUUUCAUACAGUGUCUGCUCUGUAAUAUGUGCUGAUUAUAUGUUAGCUUUUAUUAUUCUAGGAAAUGAUUCCAUCCUCCCAGAAUAGGCCAGAAUACAAAGAGAAACUGAAAGGCAGAGAAAGAAAUGAGUUUUAUAUGAAGUAUUUGAAGCUCGUCUUCCCCAACAUUUCCAAAAAACUGUCCAUAAAAAACAAAGAAACAAAGAAACAAACUUAUAUCAUAAGCUGCUAUUUAAAAAGAAAAAAUCUGACUUCAAAUUUUGAUUGGGUCCUAAAUCCAAUGACUGGAGUCCUUUUAGAAGAAAACACACAGAGAAACAGAAGGUGGUGAUGUGAAGAUGGAUGCAGAGAUUGAAGUGAUGUGUCUAUGAGCCAAGUAAAACCAAGGAUGGCCAACAACCACUAGACCCUAGGAUGGAGGCAUUGGAAGAUUUCUAGAAGCCUCAGACCCUCCAGAAAGAAUCAACCCUGACGACAGUUUCGUUUUAGACUUUAAGCCUUUUGGAACUGUGAGAGAACACAUUUGUUGGUGUGAGCCUCUCAGUUAUUGGUAAUUUGUUAUGGCGGCCCUUGGAAACAUGUACAUGGUAUUACAAAAUGGCCAUUUGAAAUGUGGAAAAUGCAAAUAAUAUAGCUCAAUAAAAGCUUUUUCUCUCUGCUU